ACGCUACUUGUUGCAGGUGUUGCCAUUGCACACCACACGCUAGCUUGAGCUUCAACGUCACCACCACCAGUCUUUCGUGUGUGGCUAACAUAUCUACACAUAUCCUCCAUCUUUAUGCCCUCUAAUCUAGCUUGAAAAUUACUACCAAACUUUCUCUUUUCAAAGGUACUUCUCUUUGAAAAUCGAAACUGAUGAUCCGUCCAAAAACAAUCAUUGGAGAUCAAUUGCUUAGAUCUCCCCCCCCCCCCCCCCCCCCCUCUCUCUAAUCAGUACCACAACAGUCUCACUUAUAGUUGAAUAAGCUUUCAACAUGACCUUGACAGCCUGGUGCGUGGAAAUGAAGCUGAACUUACAGCAAGAGAUUGUGUUCGGUCCUAAGUCUGAGGAUAAGUUCUAAUCGUUGGAUUUAAAUUAGAUAGAUGUUGGUUAAAUCUGAAAAUAAAACAAAAAGAAAUCAUACAUCUGUGAUUUAGCCAAAAAAAAAAUCUGUUGCUAUUUCCCGACCAAUCAUCAUGUUGUAUUCAUGUAUACUCAAGUCAUUUAGCAAGAGACCAAUGGUUUGAGCAUUAA